AAAACUUUCAACAAUGGAUCUCUUGUGCUCUCGGCAUCGAUGAAGAACGCAGCGAAUUGCGAUAAGUAGUAUGAAUUGCAAAUUCUGUGAAUCAUCGAAUCUUUGAACGCAUAUUGUGCUCUCUGGUACUCCGGAGAGCAUGCCUGUUUGAGGGUAAUUA
rnacentral:rRNA from 1 species